UCGAGCGCACUCUUCGGAGUGAGCGGCGGACGGGUUAGUAACGCGUGGGAAUAUGCCCUUCUCUAAGGAAUAGCCACUGGAAACGGUGAGUAAUACCUUAUACGCCCUUUGGGGGAAAGAUUUAUCGGANAAGGAUUAGCCCGCGUAAGAUUAGAUAGUUGGUGGGGUAAUGGCCUACCAAGUCUACGAUCUUUAGCUGGUUUUAGAGGAUGAUCAGCAACACUGGGACUGAGACACGGCCCANACUCCUACGGGAGGCAGCAGUGGGGAAUCUUGGACAAUGGGCGCAAGCCUGAUCCANCCAUGCCGCGUGAGUGAUGAAGGCCUUAGGGUCGUAAAGCUCUUUCGCCAGAGAUGAUAAUGACAGUAUCUGGUAAAGAAACCCCGGCUAACUCCGUGCCAGCAGCCGCGGUAAUACGGAGGGGGUUAGCGUUGUUCGGAAUUACUGGGCGUAAAGCGCACGUAGGCGGAUCANAAAGUAAGGGGUGAAAUCCCAGGGCUCAACCCUGGAACUGCCUCUUAAACUCCUGGUCUUGAGUUCGAGAGAGGUGAGUGGAAUUCCGAGUGUAGAGGUGAAAUUCGUAGAUAUUCGGAGGAACACCAGUGGCGAAAGCGGCUCACUGGCUCGAUACUGACGCUGAGGUGCGAAAGUGUGGGGAGCAAACAGGAUUAGAUACCCUGGUAGUCCACACCGUAAACGAUGAAUGCCAGUCGUCGGGUAGCAUGCUAUUCGGUGACACACCUAACGGAUUAAGCAUUCCGCCUGGGGAGUACGGUCGCAAGAUUAAAACUCAAA
rnacentral:rRNA from 1 species